AGCUAUUUCCUGGGGACAAAUUUGCCUUGAAAACAAAUUGAAAGUGUUCAAUUCACUUAAUGGCUU
rnacentral:tRNA from 1 species